UUUUAAAAAUGUACUCAUUGUUAAAUAUCCACAUCCCAUGUGAUCUUGGAAGAUGAGCAUGAUCAGGCCUGGUUAGUAUUUGGAUGGGGUUUACCAAGGAAAAACAGGUGCUAUAGAUU
rfam:Anolis carolinensis chromosome 5, whole genome shotgun sequence.